rnacentral:tRNA from 1 species
CGCGGAGUGGAGCAGCUAGGUAGCUCGUCGGGCUCAUAACCCGAAGGUCAUAGGUUCAAAUCCUGUCUCCGCAA